rnacentral:rRNA from 1 species
UACGGGGGGAGCAAGCGUUGUUCGGAUUUACUGGGCGUAAAGGGCGCGUAGGCGGCCACCGCAAGUCGAUUGUGAAAUCUCCGGGCUUAACCCGGAAAGGUCAACUGAUACUGUGCGACUAGAGUGCGGAAGGGGCAACUGGAAUUCUCGGUGUAGCGGUGAAAUGCGUAGAUAUCGAGAGGAACACCUGCGGCGAAGGCGGGUUGCUGGGCCGACACUGACGCUGAUGCGCGAAAGCCAGGGGAGCGAACGGG